CUUAAUUAGUCUAUUCUCCUUUCCUUAUUAUUGAUGUGAUAAUUUCUAUCCUCACAAUCAAUGUGAUUAGUUUCUGUUAAAUGUAAUAGUAAAAGCAAAGAAUUUUACAUCUCCCCACGUCUAGGAUUAGUAACGCUUAAAUAUUUCUUUAAAUUUGUUACUAAAGAGUUUAGCUUUAUGUUACAUUCCCAAAGGUGUCCCAUAGCAUAAUCUUCUUCAGACUAAUUUCAGAAACUCUGAUCUGUUUUGUUUUUGAGAACAAACAAUAUAAUAUUUGCAAACAAAUAGACCAGCUAAAUUCGUGCCUUUAAAGAUAGGAGGACAAGUUCAAGACGCACGCCGUUCGAGUGAUGCCGCUGCUAACGAUCUCCUGUAUUAGUGGUGGUUAUGGUGAAGGAUUCAAUCUCUAUGUACAUGGCUUGGGAUGAUUAUGAGAGUCCUUGAAGAAGAAGAAGAAGAAGAAGACGCCAAGCACUCUGAUCUGAUCUGUUUGAAUAAUCAAUUGUUGAAGUUUUUGCCUCCUUUUUUUGGCGUUUGUUUCUUAAUUAUCUUAUGUUGCCCAUAAAGUUCUUGUAUAUAAGGUAGUUUUAUUAUAUAUAAACUCUUCAUUAGUAGGA